UACGUAGGUGGCGAGCGUUGUCCGGAAUUAUUGGGCGUAAAGAGCUCGUAGGCGGUUUGUCGCGUCUGCCGUGAAAGUCCGGGGCUCAACUCCGGAUCUGCGGUGGGUACGGGCAGACUAGAGUGAUGUAGGGGAGACUGGAAUUCCUGGUGUAGCGGUGAAAUGCGCAGAUAUCAGGAGGAACACCGAUGGCGAAGGCAGGUCUCUGGGCAUUAACUGACGCUGAGGAGCGAAAGCAUGGGGAGCGAACAGG
rnacentral:rRNA from 1 species